UCCCUGGUAGUCCAAUGGGUAGGACUCUGCAUUUCCACUGCAGAGGGCACAGGUUCCAUCCCCAGUCAGGGAA
rfam:TPA: Bos taurus chromosome 7, whole genome shotgun sequence.